GCUUUCGUAGUGUAAUGGUGAGCACACUAGGCUCGUAUUCGAGAAGUACGAGGUUCGAGUCCCAGAGAGGGCA
rnacentral:tRNA from 1 species